rnacentral:lncRNA from 1 species
CUCUCUGUGCAUGUGGCCUCACUACUGCUGCUUCUGGAGGGACUGAAAAAUCCCUGAGACCAGCAUCUCAGGGAUGCUGGUCUGGCAGUCAGAGAGGUCUCUGAGCUGACAGGAUUUCCUGAAAUGCUGUGAAAAUUUUGCAUCCUGAAAUCCAUGCUGGAAUCCUGGCUCAUAAUAUCCCAAAAGGUAAUGCUGACAUGGCCAGGCCUGAUUGUUGCCUGUAAUCUCUAUCCCUUCCUGAAGACAGUGGCUUCUCCAGGUGUAAUGGUUGAGAGGCUGUUGAGCAAAUUGGUACUGGUAGAGUAACUUUACUGAGAGAUGCCACCAAAAACCACAAUCCAGUGACAGUGGUGUGUCAGAGGACUAUGAGGCAGUGUCCACAGACAGGCAGAGCUCCAAGAGUAAGGACACCUUCUUGGAGACUAGGUGCCAGUUAGUCUUGAAGGCAUUCACAUUCACUUAUAUGGCACAAUAUGAUGAAGCAAUUUCAGAUUACCUCAGGAAAUAGCACAGUAAAGGAAUAUCUCAGAUGCCCUUGCAGUACAGAAUGAUCCCUCAUCAGACUCCUGUGCAGCUAUACACACUGAAGCCUAAGCUUCCCAUCACAGUUCUAAAUGGAGCCCCUGGAUUUAAAAACUUUUGUGAUGCUUUGAAUGCCUGGCAGCUGGUGAAGGAACUCAAAGAGGCAUUAGGCAUUCUAUCUGCUGCCCUUUUCAAACAUGUCAGCCCAGCAGAUGCUGCUGUUGAAAUUCCACUCAGUGAAAAUGAGGCCAAAGUC